GAUGAACGCUGGCGGCGUGCUUAACACAUGCAAGUCGAACGGAAAGGCUCCUGCUUGCAGGGGUACUCGAGUGGCGAACGGGUGAGUAACACGUGGGUGAACUGCCCUGCACUUCGGGAUAAGCCUGGGAAACUGGGUCUAAUAUCGGAUAGGACGAUGGUUUGGAUGCCAUUGUGGAGAGUUUUUCGGUGUGGGCUGAGCUCGCGGCCUAUCCGCUUGUUGGUGGGGUAAUGGCCUACCAAGGCGUCGACGGGUAGCCGGCCUGAGAGGGUGUACGGCCACAUUGGGACUGAGAUACGGCCCAGACUGCUACGGGAGGCAGCAGUGGAGAAUAUUGCACAAUGAGCGCAAGCCUGAUGCAGCGACGCCGCGUGGGGGAUGACGGCCUUCGGGUUGUAAACUCCUUUCGCUAGGGACGAAGCGCAAGUGACGGUACCUGGAGAAGAAGCACCGGCUAACUACGUG
rnacentral:rRNA from 1 species